AUGGAAGCUGGUGGCGUAGGAAAACACCCAGGCCCGGAGAGGAAAUCUGAGGCGGACGGAGAGGAAAUCUGAGGCGGCGGCGCCAUCUCUCUUGGUCGUGCCGCGGGCAUCAUGGGGACGGACGGAGAGGAAAUCUGAGGCGGCGACGCCAUCUCUCUUUUCGACCGGCGAGACAUCUGAUUCAGGCUAGGGUUACGACAGAUGGAAAAUCAUAGAAUAAAUUGUAGAGAAACUUAAAUAGUCAUUGAAAGGAGAAGAUUUGGAGCCUGGUGGAGAGGAUUUGGC
rnacentral:lncRNA from 1 species